GCAUAUCAAUAAGCGGAGGAAAAGAAACUAACAAGGAUUCCCUUAGUAACGGCGAGUGAAGCGGGAAGAGCUCAAAUUUGAAAUCUUCAAGGUUCUACCUUGACGAAUUGUAGUUUAAAGAAGUGUUUUCUGUUAGAUGAGUAGCAAAAGUUCCUUGGAAUGGGACAUCAUAGAGGGUGAGAAUCCCGUAUUUGGCUAUUCAUUCUAGCUUUGUGAUACACUUUCAAAGAGUCGGAUUGUUUGGGAAUGCAGUCCAAAAUGGGUGGUAAAUUUCAUCUAAAGCUAAAUAUUGGCGAGAGACCGAUAGCGAACAAGUACCGUGAGGGAAAGAUGAAAAGAACUUUGAAAAGAGAGUUAAACAGUACGUGAAAUUGUCAAAAGGGAAGCGUUUGACACCAGUGUUGUUUUUCCGAAAAUCAAUUACGAAUGGCUUGAUUUUGUGUUGUAUUGACCUUAUCAGCUUUCUUCACUUUUUUCGAGUCUUUCUUAAUGCACUUUUCGGUUAACAAGUCAACAUCCAUUUCUUUUGUUGUAAAAGAGUAUUCGGAAGGUGGCUUUCUUUUCGGAGAAAGUGUUUAUAGCCCUAUACUUCUACAAUCGGAGAGAUUGAGGUCUGCAGCGUAGAUCCUUCGGGGUUAGAUACGUUUGUGCUAAGUUGUAGCUUUUCAUAGACAACUUGUUGACUAUGUUUAGUCAUGCGGCUUACUCGCUUAUGCUAUUUUACCUACGCUUAGGAUGUUGACAAAAUGGUUUUAAACGACCCGUCUUGAAACACGGACC
rnacentral:rRNA from 1 species